AGUGAACGCUGGCGGUAGGCCUAACACAUGCAAGUCGAACGGCAGCACAGUAAGAGCUUGCUCUUACGGGUGGCGAGUGGCGGACGGGUGAGGAAUACAUCGGAAUCUACUUUUUCGUGGGGGAUAACGUAGGGAAACUUACGCUAAUACCGCAUACGACCUACGGGUGAAAGCAGGGGAUCUUCGGACCUUGCGCGAUUGAAUGAGCCGAUGUUGGAUUACCUAGUUGGCGGGGUAAAGGCCCACCAAGGCGACGAUCCGUAGCUGGUCUGAGAGGAUGACCAGCCACACUGGAACUGAGACACGGUCCAGCCUCCUACGGGAGGCAGCCGUGGGGAAUAUUGGACAAUGGGCGCAAGCCUGAUCCAGCCAUACCGCGUGGGUGAAGAAGGCCUUCGGGUUGUAAAGCCCUUUUGUUGGGAAAAAAAAGCAGCAGGUUAAUACCCCGCUGUUCUGACGGUACCCAAAGAAUAAGCACCGGCUAACUUCGUG
rnacentral:rRNA from 1 species